UCCAAAUUUCCCUCGCCCACGCCCUCUUCCGUUCAAUAUACCUAAAGAACCAUAAAUAUGCUCCCCAUCGUCAUCAUACCGUCGCCACACCACACCGUCACCAUCGACGUCGUUCCCUUCGCCACGUCCCCUUCCAACAUCGACCACCUCCCUUCCCACACCGCCGCCACCACCACCCGCAACUGCUGCCUGCUCAUCCUUAAAUGGAACGACGCAAAAUACCAGUCUCGCUCCUCAUCUCCGACGUCGUCUCCAGUGGCCCCCUUCGCGAUGUCUCCAGGAAAAGAAGGAGCGUCAUUCUAGCAACGCCGGCGACUCUCGUUCUUCAUCUUCGGAUCGAGAAAGAAGAAAUCAGAGAUUUGGGAGAGAUUUAGGAUGGGAAAUAGAAAAGAGAGAAGAGAGACGUGAAAAGGAGAAAAGAUAAAUGAAAAAUAAAAAAUGUGAUUAGGGUUCUU
rnacentral:lncRNA from 1 species